UACGGAGGGGGCAAGCGUUGUUCGGAUUUACUGGGCGUAAAGCGUACGUAGGCGGCUUGUUAAGCAAGAUGUGAAAUCCCCGGGCUCAACCUGGGAAUGGCAUUUUGAACUGGCAGGCUCGAGUUCUGAAGAGGGUGGUAGAAUUUCCAGUGUAGCGGUGAAAUGCGUAGAUAUUGGAAGGAAUACCGGUGGCGAAGGCGGCCACCUGGUCAGAAACUGACGCUGAGGUACGAAAGCGUGGGGAGCAAACAGG
rnacentral:rRNA from 1 species